rnacentral:lncRNA from 1 species
UAUCGAUAUUAUACUCAUUUUAUAGCUCCUGUCAAAUAGUAUAAUUUGGAAUUAAGAAAAAGUAAUUUUGAGCUAGUAUGUCCGAGUUAUUCUAAUAAACAGAAAAAGUGUUAGUAUUUAAUAUUUUAUUAAUAUAGAUAAUAAUAAAAUAAUAAAAACAAAACUUUCAUUUCCAAUUUAAUUCAUACGGUUACUUGGGGAAAUGAAACGAAAAUUGAAAAUUAAUAAUUUAAAAUUUAUUAAGCUCAUUAGUGAUAGAGUAAUUAACCCACAUAAAACCUAAUUAACAUCAAAUUACGUUAGAAUCUCUAUAGUCACAUGUUCUGCGUAUAAAAGUGGAUAUGAGAGCACUGAAGUGACAAAUUCUCCUUUACUCAUACAGAUUAUUAGUAUUUCACACGUCUACACACACUCAUACUUUUGAGAAGGAAUAUCAUAUUAUUUCAUAAAUCAUUUUCAGAAAUUCUUUGGUGUCAAUUGAGGUAAGAAUACAUGGUGCAAGUGAUAAAUUCUUAUUCCUUGAUAUAUAUGUAAAUUUUGGCAUGAGAUACUUUAAGGCCUUCGGGUCGAAUGCUAUGUUAAAUCCUUCGGGAUAGACCAUUAGGUCAAAGAGAAGAAGUUAAA